UCAGUUUUGGGGAAGCCCCAAAUCGGAUUAUUAGUAAGGGAAGGAAUUGGCGAAAUCCCCAAUUUUUCUGUCUUUACCAAAAUCCCCAAACCUAUUCGACCAGAACCAAAUCCCUAACCCUAAAUUCGUCACGACGCCGUCUGCGAGCACUUCUGCUACGCCAUAGCCGCCACGUGACCUGUGUCAGAGUAGUAGGAGACGCUUCAGUGAAGAAAAGAGUACGGCCAUCCUCUCCAUUUCUAGUUCCACAACACCAAAAGCUGCAAGGCAUUGGAGCAGAUCAAGUUAAUUUUUCAGCAGCCAAGAAGCAUUCUACCAUGCAAGUCAUAGAGCAAAGCAGAUGUGUUUUGAAGUUUGCUUAAUCAUUUGUUUUGUUGUGGUAUAAGAAAUGGGUGAGGAAGAUGAGAGAUA